GACGGAGGAUGCAAGUGUUAUCCGGAAUCACUGGGCGUAAAGCGUCUGUAGGUGGUUCGAAAAGUCCACUGUUAAAGAUUGAGGCUUAACUUCAAAAAUGCCGUGGAAACUUUCAAACUAGAGUAUGGUAGGGGUAGAGGGAAUUUCCAGUGGAGCGGUGAAAUGCGUAGAUAUUGGAAAGACCACCGAUGGCGAAGGCACUCUACCGGGCCAUUACUGACACUGAGAGACGAAAGCUAGGGGAGCAAAUGGG
rnacentral:rRNA from 1 species